rnacentral:pre_miRNA from 1 species
UCACCUCCUCAGGCUGCCGGCCCCCAGGUGGGGCUGGGUGACUGUCUUCAAAAGGCUCACCCUCCAGCACGACUAGGAGC